rnacentral:sRNA from 2 species
GCAAUAGCUGACUAGGGUUCCGGCUCGUUUGAAAAAGCGAGUGGCUGGUCCGAGAGUCGGCGACCUCCAGUAGAGGUUACACGGCGGGAUAAAAGCCCGGGAGAC